GUGAACGCUGGCGGUAGGCCUAACACAUGCAAGUCGAACGGCAGCACAGUAAGAGCUUGCUCUUACGGGUGGCGAGUGGCGGACGGGUGAGGAAUACAUCGGAAUCUACUUUUUCGUGGGGGAUAACGUAGGGAAACUUACGCUAAUAACGCAUACGACCUACGGGUGAAAGCAGGGGAUCUUCGGACCUUGCGCGGUUGAAUGAGCCGAUGGCGGAUUAGCUAGUUGGCGGGGUAAAGGCCCACCAAGGCGACGAUCCGUAGCUGGUCUGAGAGGAUGAUCAGCCACACUGGAACUGAGACACGGUCCAGACUCCUACGGGAGGCAGCAGUGGGGAAUAUUGGACAAUGGGCGCAAGCCUGAUCCAGCCAUACCGCGUGGGUGAAGAAGGCCUUCGGGUUGUAAAGCCCUUUUGUUGGGAAAGAAAAGCAGCAGGUUAAUACCCCGCUGUUCUGACGGUACCCAAAGAAUAAGCACCGGCUAACUUCGUG
rnacentral:rRNA from 1 species